GGUGUUUACUGUCGAACUGAACACUCUACCGUUUACUGUCUGGUGGUGCUCUUCACCGAGUGUCACCAGUGGUCGGUACGUUUACUUUGAAAAAAUUAGAGUGCUCAAAGCGGUUUUUACACGACCGAAUACUGUUGCAUGGAAUAAUGAAAUAGGACUUUGGUUCUAUUUGUGGUCUCGGAACCAAAGGUAAUGAUUAGAGGGACAGACGGGGGCAUUAGUAUUGCGACGCUAGAGGUGAAAUUCUUGGACCGUCGCAAGACUAACUAAAGCGAAAGCAUUUGCCAAGAAUGUUUUCAUUAAUCAAGAACGAAAGUUAGAGGUUCGAAGGCGAUCAGAUACCGCCCUAGUUCUAACCAUAAACGAUGCCAACCAGCAAUCAGCCUGUGUUCUCUUGAUGACACGGCUGGCGGCUUCCGGGAAACCAAAGUCUUUCGGUUCCAGGGGAAGUAUGGUUGCAAAGCUGAAACUUAAAGGAAUUGACGGAAGGGCACCACCAGGAGUGGAGCCUGCGGCUUAAUUUGACUCAACACGGGGAAACUCACCCGGCCCGGACACUGUGAGGAUUGACAGGUUGAAGCCCUUUCUUGAUUCAGUGGGUGGUGGUGCAUGGCCGUUCUUAGUUGGUGGAGUGAUUUGUCUGGUUAAUUCCGAUAACGAACGAGACUCUAGCCUACUAAUUAGACCGUGGCGUCCUCGUGCCGCCACGGCGCUUCCUAGAGGGACAGACGG
rnacentral:rRNA from 1 species